AUUGAACGCUGGCGGCAUGCCUUACACAUGCAAGUCGAACGGUAACGCGGGGCAACCUGGCGACGAGUGGCGAACGGGUGAGUAAUGUAUCGGAACGUGCCCAGUUGUGGGGGAUAACUGCUCGAAAGAGCAGCUAAUACCGCAUACGACCUGAGGGUGAAAGCGGGGGAUCGCAAGACCUCGCGCAAUUGGAGCGGCCGAUAUCAGAUUAGGUAGUUGGUGGGGUAAAGGCUCACCAAGCCAACGAUCUGUAGCUGGUCUGAGAGGACGACCAGCCACACUGGGACUGAGACACGGCCCAGACUCCUACGGGAGGCAGCAGUGGGGAAUUUUGGACAAUGGACGCAAGUCUGAUCCAGCCAUGCCGCGUGCGGGAAGAAGGCCCUCGGGUUGUAAACCGCUUUUGUCAGGGAAGAAACGCUCUGGGUUAAUACCUCGGGGUAAUGACGGUACCUGAAGAAUAAGCACCGGCUAACUACGUGCCAGCCGCCGCAGUAAGAC
rnacentral:rRNA from 1 species